rnacentral:rRNA from 1 species
CCAGCAGCCGCGGUAAUUCCAGCUCCAAUAGCGUAUAUUAAUGCUGUUGCGGUUAAAAAGCUCGUAGUUGGAUUUUGGGGCUCUCCCUUUUCGGGAAUUCAUUUGGAGGCUGGUCCGGUGUAAACCGCGUACCGGCCGCCGGGCCCUUUCGUCUGGAGGCCGGGCGUUCGACUUGAUUGUCGUGCGAUUCCCCCGGUGUCUAGGACAAUUACUUUGAACAAAUUAGAGUGUUUAAAGCAGGCAUACUCGCCUUGAAUACAUUAGCAUGGAAUAACCACUUAGGACUUUGGUUCUAUUUUGUUGGUUUUAAGGACUAAAGUAAUGAUUAACAGGAACCGUUGGGG